rnacentral:rRNA from 1 species
AAGAAGCACCGGCUAACUACGUGCCAGCAGCCGCGGUAAUACGUAAGGUGCGAGCGUUAAUCGGAAUUACUGGGCGUAAAGAGUGCGCAGGCGGCUCUCUAAGACAGGUGUGAAAUCCCCGGGCUUAACCUGGGAAUGGCGCUUGUGACUGGAGAGCUAGAGUGUGGCAGAGGGGAAUGGAAUUCCUGGUGUAGCAGUGAAAUGCGUAGAUAUCAGGAGGAACACCGAUGGCGAAGGCAGUUCCCUGGGCCAACACUGACGCUCAUGCACGAAAGCGUGGGGAGCAAACAGGAUUAGAUACCCUGGUAGUCCACGCCCUAAACGAUGUCAACUAGUUGUUGGGGAAGGAGACUUCUUUAGUAACGUAGCUAACGCGUGAAGUUGACCGCCUGGGGAGUACGGCCGCAAGGUUAAAACUCAAAUGAAUUGACGG